AAGCUCAUAGGUUUGUCUUAGUCCUGCUAAGUCUAAAGACCUGCGGUUCGACUCCGUAGCAGCUUC
rnacentral:tRNA from 1 species